AUGGUGGCCUUCAGAGACGUGUUGGAGGUGUGUGAGUUGGUUGAUCUAGGCUUUAUUGGAGUUCCAUUCACAUAUGACAAUAAACGUAGUGGUGCAAGUAAUGUCAAAGUCCGGUUGGACAGAGCGGUGGCAUCCAAUGAUUGGAGGAAUUUAUUCGCGUACUCGUCGGUUGUUCAUAUCCCUCCUCCUUGCUCGGAUCAUAUAGCCAUUUUGGUAAAGGGGUCAGCUGACCCGGGUCCGACAGGGAAGAGCAACAGAAGAUAUGAGCUUUUUUGGGAACGGGACCCUAUGUUGCCGGACAUAAUAAAGGAAGCAUGGGAGGCUGUAGGCGGCGUUCAGAACUUGGCUCAGUUGCGCGAUGCACUAUCCAAGACCAUGAGCUCAUUGGGAUUAUGGAGUAAAAAAUUUGGUAACAUCAGGAGAGAGUUAGCAAAGUCUCGGACUCAGUUAGAGGAACUGAUGAACAUGAACGCAGACAGAGCAGAGAUCAGGGUUGUAACAGACAAGAUGAACGAACUCCUUUACCAGGAGGAAAUGUUAUGGCUGCAACGGUCAAGAAUAACAUGGUUGAAAGAAGGCGAUAGGAAUACCAAAUAUUUCCAAGCAAGGCAGUGUGGAGAGCGAGGAAGAAUAAAAUUCGGGAUCUUACUGAUAGCAUUGGGGUGGUGCAUACAGAUAGUGUGGUGA
rnacentral:rRNA from 1 species